rnacentral:lncRNA from 1 species
AUAAACAGAUAAAAUAUAACAACCAAAUAAAGCAAUUACAAAACCCAAUUACAAGACUAAAACAACAGGCCCAACUUCCACAUCAAAUGACCCAAACAAUAAAAAAACCUAAAGCCCACCUAGCCCAACAAACUAAACAUUUUCAGCAGCAAAAAAACCCUAGCCACUAAGUUUUCAGCCGCCACUCCCCUCACCCUUGGCCAUCACGCGCACCACCCACGCACGCCCCUCACCUCCUGGUGAGCCACCCACAUCUGACACACCUGCAACAAAGACAAAAACAACAGCAAGAGAAAGCAUGCGAGGGAUGGGGGAAGAAAUAAAAAAAGAACGAAAACAAAAAAAUAAAAGAUGAAUGUUUUGUAGAUCGGCCUUAAAAAGCCAAAAUCUAUCAUUUGUAAAGGGGGGAUUUUACAAAGAUUGAAAAAGAGACAAUCACAAAAAUCCCUCCGAACUUCGAAUACAAAGGAAAAAUCAAUAAAAAGUGGCCGGCGACGGCGGCGGCGUGACCAACGGCGGUGGCCCAGUGACCGGGAUUCCACUGGAGAAGAAAAGGCUUGAGAGGAUUUUAAGGGGGGU